rnacentral:rRNA from 1 species
GAUGAACGCUGGCGGCAUGCCUAACACAUGCAAGUCGAACGGGAAACCCUUUACUGACGCUUCGGCAGAUCUAACUGGUUUCUAGUGGCGGACUGGUGUGUAACGCAUGGGUAACCUGCCUUUCACAGAGGGAUAAAAGUCUGAAAUGCCUGCUAAUACCGCCUCAGCGCACGCCACCGCAUGGUCCGCUGUGAAAAGCUCCGAUGGGAUAAGAUGUACCCGCGCUGGAUUAGCUCGUUGCGGGGGUAACGGCGCACCAAGGUGACGAUCCAUAGCCGGCCUGAGAGGGUGAACGGCCACAUUGGGACUGAGACACGGCCCAGACUCCUACGGGAGGCAGCAGUGGGGAAUAUUGCACAAUGGGGGAAACCCUGAUGCAGCAACGCCGCGUGAAGGAAGAAGUAUCUAGGUAUGCAAACUUCUAUCAGCAGGGAAGAUAGUGACGGUACCUGAAGAAGAAGCCCCGGCUAACUACGUG